rnacentral:rRNA from 1 species
UUUUAUAAGAGUAAUUAAGCAAAUGUUAGUUUUUUACCUUUUGCAUCAUGACUAUCAGAUAUUUUAAAUGUAUAAUUAUUUUCUGAAGUUCAGAGAUAUUGUUAGGGUUUGUUUUGUACUUUAGAAUUUAUUGUGUAGAUAAUAUUUAAAUUCCUGACAUGUUGUAAUAAAUAAGACAGGCUGAAAUAUAUCCGAUUAAGAAGUAGUUAUUUUUAAAAACACAGGCAGUAAAGAUAUUACUUGUGAGAUUAAAAGAUUUAUUAUAUUUUAUUUUGUUAUAGGAUGAGAAGUUUCCUUUAAUAGUGAUAGUGUUAUAACACCAAAUUAUAAUAUAUUUUUUCUUUAAUUAGAUUAUUUCUUUUUAAUAAUUAUUUAAUAAUUAAUUAUUGAUAGAUUAGUAAAACUAAUACUGUUAUUUUAUUUUGGUGCUACUUUAACUGUAUAUCAAAAACAUUUCCUCUUUUUUACAUUAAGAGGUAAGACCUGCUCAAUGUUUUAAUAAAUAGCCGCAUUAGUCUGAGUGUGCUAAGGUAGCAUAAUUACUAGCUCUUUAAUUGGGAGAUUGUUUGAAUGGUUUAAUAGGAGUAGUUAUGAAGAUUGAUAGUAUAUUUGAAAUUAGUUAUCUUGUACAGAACCAAGAUAAAACAAUUAUGACGGGAAGACCCUAGGAGGUUUACAUUUAUUGUUUAUUUGGGGCAAAGUAUAAUAUUUUAUUAUAUUUGAGAACCUUUAACAAGGGCUUAAAGAUUAAAGCUACCCUAGGGAUAACAGAGUAAGAAAUAAGGAGAGAUCUAAUCGAUUUAUUUAAUUGCUACCUCGAUGUUGACUUAGGAGAAAGUUUAUGGGCGCAGAGGCUCAUAAAACAGGUCUGUUCGACCUUUAAAUUCCUUCAUGAGUUGAGUUAAGACCGACGUAAGUCAGGUUGGUUCCUAUCUAAUGGUGUUUUUUAUUAGUACGAAAGGAUUAUAGAAAUUUUAUUUU